AGUGUGUGUUUUCUCAUCUGAAUUCCAAAUGUCUUUAACCUGUUCACAACGAAAUUCCAUAAAUUUAAAGAAACUGUUUUGCAGUGGUGUCCUGUUGAUUUAAACUUACACUGCACAAAAUGUCUCAGGUUCCUGGGGAGAGUCUGGAUCAGAGAGAGGAGCCGCCUCCAGGUCAUCAGAGGAUCAACCACUCCUGCAGCAUUCCUUCACUCCAGACUUGUCAGUGCCUCUGCAGACUCCACGUGACACCAACAUGAUAGAAAACAACGUCAGUAGAAGAAGAAGAAGCUCUUCCUCUAAUGACACUGACGACUCUGCUUUGCCUCCAAAGUUUCUAACUGCAGCUCAUCUGUCUUCUCUCAGAGACUUGGUGUCGGACAAGAAAAUAACAGUACGUCUGGGGCUCCUUGUCACUCUCAGUGGUCCAACUGAACUUCUUGACCCUCAGCUCCUUCUCUCCCUGAACAAAGAGCCUGGACUCUACAACACUGGAGGGAAGGCUGGAGUGUUCUCAAUGAGAAUAGUGGGAAUAAAGAGAGUGACCUCUGCACCCUGAUUUCAUCAUCCACCGC